GGAGUUUGGUCCGUGUCUCAGUACCAAUGUGGGGGACCUUCCUCUCAGAACCCCUACUGAUCGUAGGCUUGGUGGGCCGUUACCCCGCCAACAACCUAAUCAGACGCAUCCCCAUCCUAUAGCGGUGAACCUUUGCUUCUCGUCAGAUGCCAUCAAAGAAGAACAUAGAGCAUUAAUUCGACUUUCGCCGGGCUAUUCUCUACUAUAGGGAAGGUUGGAUACGCGUUACUCACCCGUGCGCCGGUCGCCAUCAACAAAAGCAAGCUUUCGUUAUGCUGCCCCUCGACUUGCAUGUGUUAAGCCUGUAGCUAGCGUUCAUC
rnacentral:rRNA from 1 species